rnacentral:rRNA from 1 species
CAGCCCUAAACGAUGCGCGUUAGGUGUAUCGGUGACCACGAGUCACCGAGGUGCCGAAGGGAAACCGUGAAACGUGCCGCCUGGGAAGUACGGUCGCAAGGCUGAAACUUAAAGGAAUUGGCGGGGGAGCACAACAACGGGUGGAGCUUGCGGUUUAAUUGGAUUCAACGCCGGAAAUCUUACCGGGACCGACAGCAACAUGAAGGCCAAGCUGAAGACUUUGCCGGAUUAGCUGAGAGGAGGUGCAUGGCGUAGACGUCU